rnacentral:piRNA from 1 species
UCCCAAACAAUGGCAGCUAAGAAAC